UUUAAACUUUAUUGAGAAAAUCUACAAAUAAAGUAAAUUUUCUUCAAAAGUAAUUACUAUAAAUUAAUAUUUAUUAUAUUGCAAGAUGCUCAUUGUUUUUAAAUUUAAAUUUAAACAUUACUGUAAUAGAAAACAAGAAUGUAAGAUACCUACUCAUAAAGAAAAGUCAUGGUUUGUUCUUUAUAGUUUUGUAAUACAACACAAGACUAGUGUCAUAAGUCAAUUAAGACCUACCUGUGUCUAAUUAUAUUAAAAAUAAUAUGUAUUCGUGUAAUUGAAGGAUCAGAUUAGCAGAGAAUCUCAUAGUUUGUAAUUAUAAUUUAAUAUGUACCUAGUCCAGUUAAUUAAGCUACAAAAAAAAUGUUUAACUAAAUUUAAUUGAAAAGUCUUGAAAAUUUGGUAAUGGGAUCCUAAAUUUCCAAAAAAGUAAGGUGCUAUCCCUCCAAAUGUGUUAAUCCUCCCAAAUUUGUGGUAUUCACAAUUGUAUUAAAUUCUUAUUACUUCCACCAAAUAACAUUUUUCCUUAAUCCUGAAUUUUCUCUAGGUACCUACAUACAUUACGUUAUUAGAUAGUACUUGCGCUCUUCUAAUUACCAAAUAAUAUUCAUUAUUACUCUAAUCCAGUGGUUCUUGACCUUUCAUAUCCGUGUAUCAUUUACACAUUUUGAAAUUUUUCACAUACCACUUGACUAACUAGAUUAUUAUCAUUUUUUUUUUUUAAUUAUUAAAAAAUAAAAUAUGUACAUAUAUUACAUAUAUAUUUUAUAUAAUAUGGAGCUUUCUAUUAUUGAAUCUACAUAAUAAUAAGUAUUUAAU